rnacentral:rRNA from 1 species
GACGAACGCUGGCGGCGUGCCUAAUACAUGCAAGUUGAGCGCUGAAGGUUGGUACUUGUACCGACUGGAUGAGCAGCGAACGGGUGAGUAACGCGUGGGGAAUCUGCCUUUGAGCGGGGGACAACGUUUGGAAACGAAUGCUAAUACCGCAUAAAAACUUUAAACACAAGUUUUAAGUUUGAAAGAUGCAAUUGCAUCACUCAAAGAUGAUCCCGCGUUGUAUUAGCUAGUUGGUGAGGUAAAGGCUCACCAAGGCGAUGAUACAUAGCCGACCUGAGAGGGGGGAUCGCCACAUUGGGACUGAGACACGGCCCAAACUCCUACGGGAGGCAGCAGUAGGGAAUCUUCGGCAAUGGACGAAAGUCUGACCGAGCAACGCCGCGUGAGUGAAGAAGGUUUUCGGAUCGUAAAACUCUGUUGGUAGAGAAGAACGUUGGUGAGAGUGGAAAGCUCAUCAAGUGACGGUAACUACCCAGAAAGGGACGGCUAACUACGUG